rnacentral:rRNA from 1 species
GACGAACGCUGGCGGCGCGCCUAACACAUGCAAGUUCGAACGAGCGAGAGAGAGCUUGCUUUCUCGAGCGAGUGGCGAACGGGUGAGUAACGCGUGAGGAACCUGCCUCAAAGAGGGGGACAACAGUUGGAAACGACUGCUAAUACCGCAUAAGCCCACGGCUCGGCAUCGAGCAGAGGGAAAAGGAGCAAUCCGCUUUGAGAUGGCCUCGCGUCCGAUUAGCUAGUUGGUGAGGUAACGGCCCACCAAGGCGACGAUCGGUAGCCGGACUGAGAGGUUGAACGGCCACAUUGGGACUGAGACACGGCCCAGACUCCUACGGGAGGCAGCAGUGGGGAAUAUUGCACAAUGGGGGAAACCCUGAUGCAGCGACGCCGCGUGGAGGAAGAAGGUCUUCGGAUUGUAAACUCCUGUUGUUGGGGAAGAUAAUGACGGUACCCAACAAGGAAGUGACGGCUAACUACGUGCCAGCAGCCGCGGUAAAACGUAGGUCACAAGCGUUGUCCGGAAUUACUGGGUGUAAAGGGAGCGCAGGCGGGAAGACAAGUUGGAAGUGAAAUCUAUGGGCUCAACCCAUAAACUGCUUUCAAAACUGUUUUUCUUGAGUAGUGCAGAGGUAGGCGGAAUUCCCGGUGUAGCGGUGGAAUGCGUAGAUAUCGGGAGGAACACCAGUGGCGAAGGCGGCCUACUGGGCACCAACUGACGCUGAGGCUCGAAAGUGUGGGUAGCAAACAGGAUUAGAUACCCUGGUAGUCCACACCGUAAACGAUGAUUACUAGGUGUUGGAGGAUUGACCCCUUCAGUGCCGCAGUUAACACAAUAAGUAAUCCACCUGGGGAGUACGACCGCAAGGUUGAAACUCAAAGGAAUUGACGGGGGCCCGCACAAGCAGUGGAGUAUGUGGUUUAAUUCGACGCAACGCGAAGAACCUUACCAAGUCUUGACAUCCCUUGACAGGCAUAGAAAUAUGUUUUCUCUUCGGAGCAAGGAGACAGGUGGUGCAUGGUUGUCGUCAGCUCGUGUCGUGAGAUGUUGGGUUAAGUCCCGCAACGAGCGCAACCCUUAUGGUCAGUUACUACGCAAGAGGACUCUGGCCAGACUGCCGUUGACAAAACGGAGGAAGGUGGGGAUGACGUCAAAUCAUCAUGCCCUUUAUGACUUGGGCUACACACGUACUACAAUGGCGUUAAACAAAGAGAAGCAAGACCGCGAGGUGGAGCAAAACUCAGAAACAACGUCCCAGUUCGGACUGCAGGCUGCAACUCGCCUGCACGAAGUCGGAAUUGCUAGUAAUCGUGGAUCAGCAUGCCACGGUGAAUACGUUCCCGGGCCU